AGAAUAAAAUAAAAAGGAAACAAAAGAAAGAAGAAACAGAGAGCAGACCAAAAAGAAAGGAAGGAAAGGGGAAAGAAAAGAAAAAGGGAGAAUUGGGGUUUGGAAGCUUCAAGUUUAAUUGGUAGUAAAGAACCUGAGGCAUCGGCACCGAAAGGAAAUGUAACACCCCUUAACCCUUAUCCGUCCCCGAAACAGGAUUACGAGGCAUUACCAGUCAGUACAGUUCAUUUACGGUUAUUAAUUAAAAUUAUUAUUUACACUUAUCACAAAUUUAACAAAUUAUCAAAUAAUUCAAAUUUAUACCAAUUAAGCCAAA